rnacentral:ncRNA from 1 species
GUAGAGUAGAUACGGUGCGUUAAGUGUCACAUGACGGGAAGGUCAUUAGUGUGAACGAAGGAGCAGCAGCUUCGCGUUACGGUAUCGCUUCCGCUA